rnacentral:rRNA from 1 species
GGUGAACGCUGGCGGCGUGCCUAAUACAUGCAAGUCGAGCGAACGGACGAGAAGCUUGCUUCUCUGAUGUUAGCGGCGGACGGGUGAGUAACACGUGGAUAACCUACCUAUAAGACUGGGAUAACUUCGGGAAACCGGAGCUAAUACCGGAUAAUAUUUUGAACCGCAUGGUUCAAAAGUGAAAGACGGUCUUGCUGUCACUUAUAGAUGGAUCCGCGCUGCAUUAGCUAGUUGGUAAGGUAACGGCUUACCAAGGCAACGAUGCAUAGCCGACCUGGGAGGGUGAUCGGCCACACUGGAACUGAGACACGGUCCAGACUCCUACGGGAGGCAGCAGUAGGGAAUCUUCCGCAAUGGGCGAAAGCCUGACGGAGCAACGCCGCGUGAGUGAUGAAGGUCUUCGGAUCGUAAAACUCUGUUAUUAGGGAAGAACAUAUGUGUAAGUAACUGUGCACAUCUUGACGGUACCUAAUCAGAAAGCCACGGCUAACUACGU